CCGAAAGGCGUAGUCGAUGGACAACAGGUUAAUAUUCCUGUGCUACCUCACGUUGAGUGAAGGGGGGACAGGGCUCUGACCGCCCACCCGCUGCUGGAGUAGCGGGGGUAAGCCCGAGGGUGGCUGGUAGGUAAAUCCGCCAGCGUAAUCCCGGAGGUGAUACCGAGGCCAUUGCGUGCCGAAGGGGCCAGAGGGGCCUUCAAGAAAAUCCUCUAAGCGUUUGAGACGUGGGGUAUCCGUACUAAAACCGACACAGGUAGGCGAGGAGAGUAUCCUCAGGCGCUCGGGAGAACCUUCGCUAAGGAACUCGGCAAAAUGGCCCCGUAACUUCGG
rnacentral:rRNA from 1 species